rnacentral:rRNA from 1 species
AUUGAACGCUGGCGGCAGGCCUAACACAUGCAAGUCGAACGAGUGGCGGACGGGGGAGAAAUGUCUGGAAACCUGCCUGUUGGAGGGGGCAACCUACUGGAAACGGUAGCUAAAACACCAAACCUUCAGAGGUGCCCAGAUGGGAUUAGCUUGUUGGUGGGGUAACGGCUAACCAAGGCGACGAUCCCUAGCUGGUCUGAGAGGAUGACCAGCAAAACUGGAACUGAGACACGGUCCAGACUCCUACGGGAGGCAGCAGUGGGGAAUAUUGCGCAAUGGGCGCAAGCCUGAUGCAGCCAUGCCGCGUGUAUGAAGAAGGCCUUCGGGUUGUAAAGUACUUUCAGCGGGGAGGCGUUACCCGCAGAAGAAGCACCGGCUAACUCCGUGCCAGCAGCCGCGGUAAUAC